UUUUUUUCUGAACUGACUUGCUUCGUUAAAUAAAAAAAAUAAAAAAAUAUGAGAUCCUCAGGGAGACUGGCUAGCUGCACACCCAGGCCACCAAGCCAGACUCCGUUGGUGAGAAUGUGAUCAUCACACACAUUUUUACCUCACUGUCAAACAAACAAACUGCCCAUCUGAAAUUCAAAGUAGUAAUAUGAUGUAUUGUAUGAUCAUAUGUUUUUAACCUGUGAUAUCCUUUGUGGAAGCAAUAGCACUUUUUAAUGUCCAAGACACAUUUCCUCUCAGAGACAACAAAAUAAAUACUAAAUCCUAAUCGAGGCGUUCUGAAGAAACCUACACUGGAUGGAUUCGAGGUGGCUCUAGCAUGUAAAUAAAAAUAAAUAAAUACAAUUUGUGGACAAUGUCUCCCCUUGCAGGUUGAGGGGUGAAUGACUCUCCAGUGGCUCUACAGACUGGAAAAGUUUUCCACCUGGGCUGACUUCAACAGCAGAGACUUGGUUCACCCUGGACUACCUGCUGACCAACACCAUGAUCUACUGGACUACCGGUUCCAUCAUCUCCACAACGAGGUUCUACAAAGAGACCCUCAAGACCAACAUCGAGAACAGACUGGAUAACGAGUUCAGGAACAUCUACUCCUACUUCCACCAAGGAAGCCACUUCGCUGCCUUGGAAGAGGCACGGCUCUUGGCCGACGACCUGCUGCAGUUUGUUAGGAAGGUGAAGUUGUUUUAAGGCUGAUGCAACAACAGCCAGUCCCAAAUUGCUCCCUACCACCUGGCACAAACCCCUCGAUGUUUGCAGUUCUGUAGAUUCUGGAUAGGUAUAAGAAGUGCAGUGGUGAAGCUCACACCAUAUUUGCUGACACCUUAAUGAAGAUCUGCAGAAAUGAAGGGUUAGGGCCAAGGAAGAGAGGUAGGAAGCGUUUGGGACUAUCAGGGGAAGGGGUGGGACAUGGGUUUGGUAUGUAAUGAACACAACCCAGGUGUGUACACUGCACUCUCCAGCCAAGUGCCAGGAAGAGAGCCAACAGAACUUCAGGGACUUAGUGUUCUCACAGAGGUGCACAACUAACUACUAAUAGUCCAAGUUUCUCUAAAACCAUUUUAUACUGUUAUCAAAGCUCAAAAUCAAACUGUCUUAUCAAGUCAAUAUUUAAAAUACUCUGUCAAACAAUGCUAUUAUAAUUUAAGAUCAAUGUAAUAUGAAUAAGGCUUAGU